CCCUUAGAUGUCCUGGGCCGCACGCGUGCUACACUGACACCUGCAACGAGUUAUUCCGGCUCCGAAAGGCAGUUGGUAAUCAGAAAUAGGUGUCGUGAUGGGGAUAGACCCUUGGAAUUAUGGAUCUUGAACGAGGAAUGCCUAGUAAGCGCACGUCAUUAGCGUGCGCUGAUUAAGUCCCUGCCCUUUGUACACACCGCCCGUCGCUCCUACCGAUUUCGAGUGGUCCGGUGAGCCUUUUGGAGAGUGAGCGUCCUUGAGGCGCUUGCUCGAAGUCAGGCAAAUCUUACUACUUAGAGGAAGGAUAAGUCGUAACA
rnacentral:rRNA from 1 species